AACCCUUCAGCUUCUACCAUCUCUUCACACUCCGUGGAACAAGGUCGAUGUCAUCUCAUAUCCUUCAAUUUGCUUAUCACAUCCAUGCUUGAAAAGUUGAGCUGGAGUGAAUGUAUUCUCACUCUUGACGUCGACAACGUCCCUUUUUUUGGAAGCCUCAUCGGACUGAUUACUCCAUAUGGAACCCAACGGCAUGGGACCUUUUGGGGUUUCUUUAUGUGUUGAAUCUACUACCUUUUUUUUGCUCAUUCACUGCAACUAUUGACAAUUUGCGAGUAUGGUUAGCGGGGACAUGGGUGUCUUCAAUUGUAUUUUUGUUCCUAUUUGAACCUAUGGUUGAACAACUAGGAGUUGUUGUCAUACUGAGUUUUGGAAAUGAAAUGGAAGAAGAAAUAUGGCUCGUUAUGAAAGAUUUCUUAGUUUGUAAGGUGAUUAUUACUUUGUGUGUUAGGGAUUAUAUAACGAUGAUAGAAUCCUAAAAUGGC
rnacentral:lncRNA from 1 species